rnacentral:rRNA from 1 species
GCCACACGUUGUGUGGAGUAUCCCAGACACAACCUUGUGUGGACCCUCUGAGCCACAUGUUGUGUGGACUCUCCCAGACACAACCUUUGUGUGGACCGGAGCCACACCUUGUGUGGAGUCUCCCAGGACGCAACGUUGUGUGGACUCUGCGAGCCUCUGACAUGGACCUCCCAGGGCAUAGUGAUUGCGCCCUCGAAGAGUCGAGUUGUUUGGGAAUGCAGCUCCAAAUGGGUGGUAAACUCCAUCUAAAGCUAGAUACUGGCGAGAGACCGAUAGCGAACAAGUACCGUGAGGGAAAGAUGAAAAGAACUUUGGAAAGAGAGUUAAACAGUACGUGAAAUUGUUGAAAGGGAAACGCUUGAAGUCAGUCGCGUCGGCCUGGGAUCAGCCCCGCAUCAGCGAGGUGCACUCCCUGGUCGACGGGUCAGCACCAGUUUCGACCGUUGGAGAAAGGUCGGGGGAAUGUGGCAUCUUCGGAUGGACUUAUGACCCAGUGUCAUGCUAGCGUUGGGUAUGGGAAACUGGUGCGCCGC